CCUACGGGGUGCAGCAGUGGGGAAUAUUGCACAAUGGGGGAAACCCUGAUGCAGCAACGCCGCGUGAGUGAUGACGGCCUUCGGGUUGUAAAGCUCUGUCUUCAGGGACGAUAAUGACGGUACCUGAGGAGGAAGCCACGGCUAACUACGUGCCAGCAGCCGCGGUAAUACGUAGGUGGCGAGCGUUGUCCGGAUUUAUUGGGUUUAAAGGGUGCGCAGGCGGCCUGUUAAGUCAGCGGUAAAAGCCCGGGGCUCAACCCCGGCGAGCCGUUGAAACUGGCGGGCUGGAGUUGGAGAGAAGUACGCGGAAUGCGCGGUGUAGCGGUGAAAUGCUUAGAUAUCGCGCAGAACCCCGAUUGCGAAGGCAGCGUACCGGCUCCACACUGACGCUGAGGCACGAAAGCGUGGGUAUCGAACAGGAUUAGAUACCCUAGUAGUC
rnacentral:rRNA from 1 species